CACUGCCUCCAUGUCACUACCCAGGCAGAGCACAGCCUGGAAAAGCAGACCAGGAGAUCAGCUCCAAGACAGGGUGGGCUGCCAGGACAGGCUCCAUGGCAUGAAACAGGGUACUGCUCUCCAUAGUGUGCAAGGAUGCCUGGCCCCACAGCACUGCCUAGUCCACAGGGAUUACUCGCCUCAGACAGAGGUUUCAUUUCCAUUGCAAGAGCUGGAGAAACUACUGUCUGUUGAUGGUAUUGCUAACAGAGAACUGGAAGUCCCCAAUGGAGCUCUUAUUCGUGUCAAAGAUGAAGGGCUUUUGGAGUAUGAGAAUGACAAUUCUCUCUUUGCAGCACCGGGAAAUGAUAAGCAGCCGUCUCAACCCGUGUUGGCUAAACAUGACACAAAACAUGAUAUCUGCCUGACGUCAUCCCUGAACUCACCCCUUCUUGUGCGGUGCUGCAGAAACUCGUUCUUAAUCCUCUGGACUACACUGGAUUAAGCUCUCCUGGCUGUGCUGAUAGAGCCGACUCCAGCCACCAAGGCAACAGCAGGCUACUCGGAGCAUAUCCAUGUGGUGAGGUGAAGAUCCUGGCUCCAGCACACCCAGUCCUGCAAGGCACACACUUUUAAUUUGUACGUUGUGCUUUUGAUUUAGCGCUGCAUCCUGCUUGUGGCAGAGCAUCUGUACUGGUCUUCAGAAGAUCCAGGACCAGGCAGGAGAGAUCCUGUGCCUGCUGUGCUGAAAACCAGUGGGCUUCUGGGACACCUGCUGGUGGACUGGUGCUUGACACAAAAAGUCCUGAGAAGUUCAGGCCCAUACAAAGACUAUUUCCAAACUCCAGAGCUUGGAUUAAAUGUCCCCUAUUAGUGAAUAUCUGUGAAGAACAACGAAGACUGAGGAUAAAUCAGAUCUUGAAUAUAGGUUCAGACCUAAAACAAACUCCCUAUAUAUUAUGGCUUACACAGAGCCCAGCCACCACUAGAGGGAACAGAAGCUCACAAUGAAUGACAAAAUUACUAGAUUGCUCUCUAAAACGAAUGCAGUCAAUGAGAAAAUACUAGCAGACGUUCUCCAUUAGAACUGGAAAUGAAACAUAGACAUCUCCUGAUAUGGUAAGAGAAGGAAGUGGAAACUGGAAAUGGAGAACAAGUAUUUUGAGCAAGUUUUAUAUAUUUGCCUGUCCUCCAAGCCCCAUCUCCAACUCCUGCAGGCAGAGGAUUAAAAGUGGACACCUUAUAUCCAAGUCUCCUUGAAGCUGUUGAUAGGAAAUUAGGCAAAGCUAUAGACUAGGACAGCAUAUAUUUGGUGGAAAAGAAGAUAUUGCCUCAUCAAAAAGAGCUUACAAACAUCCCAAACCCUCUCUUUGUAAUGGCAUAUGUUGCACAGAGAAGCAGAGCCAGCUGGCUUAGCUGUUCUGGGCUUGCUCCUAGGUGCUCUGUGAACAUGUAGCUCUGCUCUGGGCUGCACUGUCCAGCCAGCCUUUUUCCACAACAGUGGAAAAAAUCAGUACCAAUAUGAUCAGGUACAAAGCUAAUGUAAAAUUUUUUCCAAGAGGUUAGAAAUAGCCUUUACUUCAGCAGCCAGUUAUUCAGAAGUGAGAGAAAUAGGAACUAGCAAUUGAGACUAAAUAGUACACAUCCCUGCAAGUCCUUGCCUGUCCUCGGUGUUAGUAAGGAAAGGGUUUCACCAAUCCCUGCUGCUGACUCCUCCUUCAGAGCUGUUCAUGCUGCCAUGAGUAUCCUUUGAUAUAUGCUGGGACAAGAGCAGCGUGCCUUGCUGGAUACCCUGAUUCCAGGCACCUCACAGCAGUUCUCCUGCUGGCUGAUGGUGCAGAGCAGCCAGAAGCCAAAAUGGAUACAGGGCAGAGCAGUCCUUACAUAAUAAUUCUUCCUAAAGUUUAAGGUCAGGUUAAUAGUACUGUAGGAAGGAAUUGCACUCUUACUGCCUCUUUUGUCAAUCAUUUCAGUUCAUGUUUAAGUCUUCCCUUUCCUAGCUCUUGGAUUUAUAUGCCUUCAACCUCUGUUUUACUAUGUCAUGCGCACUCACUUCCAAAGACUUGCUCCUGAUUCACACUGCUACAAUCAAGAGGAGGACUCCACAUUAUUGUUCACAGGAACGAAUCCUUCACAGAUCUCUUGAUAUGUGAAGCAGCUACGGGGAAAUUUGAAACAGUAGCAGAAACAGUCCCAUUACUGCCUCUUGUCCACAUGACUCAUCUUGAUCCUGUUAACUGCAACUAAUGUAUUUCCUAAGAAAUGCACUUUUUGGUCCUGCCUCCUUGUGCACAAGUUUUCCUGUAAUACCCUGCCUGGCACAGAGUGAGCCAUUUCCUCUCAUUCCCACAAGCAAAUCCCAUGCAGCCAUGUGCAGCAGGUAUCAAAAGACACCUGGUCACAUUGCAGAGAAAAACUCAGUCCAGAGGUCCUCAGCUGAGCAGCAGCCUUAGCACAGCUCCAAAGGCAGGUCGUGUAUGUGGUUCUUUUCUGGCCUCUCUUUUUCCCUGUAGGAAGAGGAAAACCUUGGUUUUAGUAUGGCUACAGUCACCAUGGCUGCCUGGCACAGAAAUCAAUGGAAGGGCAUGAAAUCUAGUCCAGUGCCUGUCAUGGCACUUCUCAGGUGGGAAGUUGCCUUUACCCUUUCCUCCCACCCUCAGGGCCAGUCUAGCUACCCCCAUUGUCUGCCAAGCAAAAUUUUUACCCAGCUGCAGGGACUUCACUCACAGACUAGCUUAGAUGUGCACACACACAAGGGUUACUGAUGCACUCAUGGCCCGUCUUCCUCUGCCCUCAUCUUCAAAUGUCACUCUCAUAGAGGUUCUGGGGCUGACUCAUUCCAAGCACAAACCCUGGCCUGCCCAUGACCUGCAUGUCUGAGCAAUUCUCCUCGGCCAGCUAUAUUUCAGACCUUGGCUGUGGGCAGGAAUGAUGUGUCUGGGAGUAAAGCUGAACUCCUUUGUGAUUGACAAGGAGGCCUCUGGGUAUCCUUUAACCUAAUGCUGCUGCUGAAACAGGCUGGUGCCACAAAACACAGCAGUAGAAACAGCUCUGACUGAGGCCAGGGAAAUGCCAGCCUGCAGUUUCAGAUCUUCUUCAGAGGCAGAAUGACCAUAUGCCUCUGUCUGGAUUCCAGUUUAGGCUUGGAAUAUGAACCACGAAAAACUAGCAGGGUAGUUGAAUUCCAGACCUGGAAUUGGGAUUCUCCCCAAUCUUUUCAGACAGAUGCUUCAGGAUUUUUCUGUGACACCCUCCAGUACCCAAACAGGAGCAUUAUGGUCUCAUUCCACAGAGCUGUAAAUUCUCUUAUCAAAUGUUCAGUUCUUGACCUGAUCAGCAUGGGAAGCCUGCUCCUAAAACAAAAGGUGUUUGUACAGCAAACAAGGCUAAGAAAUGAGAUUCUUCUGUACAGCAGAUUACUAGCACCUUAGAAAAAUCUGGCCUGUCCAGACUUCAGUCAUUUUUAGAAGGUUAGGUUUUGUAAUACUUUGCACCCUCAGAUGUCACUGGGAGCUUUGCUCUUGAUUUUUGUGGGGACAGGGCUUAUUUUAAGGGCAUUUCAUCUUAUCAGAAAUGAAAAGCACUUCAUACACUCUGUGCACAUGGGCAUAACAUAGCAAUUCAGGGAAAUGCUGUCUCUGUAGGACAACCAUGGGCUGACAAGACAUCCACAUGCAUAUAAAAAUCACCAUGUCAAGGCCUUAAUUUUUCUGAAAAUUUUUGUCUCCAAGUGCUAUGCAAAUUAAGCAGUUCACCUUCACUUCCCCCUUUUGGAAAAUAGGCUGAACCAAGAGAGGACUUACAAACAGGACUCGACAAAGUGUGUAAUUCUUUAGAGCAAUUAGAGCCCCAUCAUGGGACAGGAGCUGUGCAUUUCACCUCUCUUGCCUGUGCUCAUAUCUUAAUGUCCUCUUGAGAAGUUUGACAUCGCUCAACUAACAAAAAAUGGCCAAAGCAUUUGAAUGAAGCAAAGGCCAAACAAAAAAUGAACUUUCUCACAAGUCAGCUCUGCAGCUCUUAAGCAACCCUCCUUCCCUGCAGCCAGUCUGAUGCCAAGAUGUUGCCAUACCUUUGGCAGACACCUGAAGAAAGGAGAAGUGAAAGUGUGAAGCCAUACAUUGCCUUAGCACAACCACACUCAUGCAGGUGGAAAAAUGACAAGGAGUGCGUUCUCCAUCCCUGGAGAUAUUCAAGACUGGAUAAAGCUGUGAGCAAUCUGGUCAGAUCUUCAGCCCACCUUGAUUUGAACAAGAUGUUGAUCUGGAAACUUCCAGAGGUGUCUUCCAACCUGAACUAUGCUGUACCUGUUGCAACUUAAGGAUGGCGUGAUGUUGCCUCCCAUGCUUAGCAGAAUAGCAACUUCUGGCCUUUAUUUUCUGGCCAGAGUCAAGUACGUGUUCUCUGCUGAAGAAAACUCUUCCAUUUAUCAUGCUUCACCAGGAAGAGUCAUUGGGUGUGGCUACAGAAGCAGCUCAAUCCCAUAGUGCAAGACUUAUCCACAAACAUUUCCAGUUAGCUUAAAUCGUGAGCUCCUAAACCAAUGAGUGCUGAGACUUCGCAUUGCACUGUGUGGACAUAAAAUGCAGCUGGGCAUUUAAGUGAUGAGCAGAAAUUCCUCCUAAUCUUGUCAUAUUCCCUUGAUGGCAGUCAUGAAGUGCAACACAGACUAUUCCCUAGUGCCUGUCAUACCUCACCUUAUGAAUACCCCAAAUACACAACUUUACUUCCAGAGAUUUUUUUAGAGUUCUGCUAAUUCUUUUUUGUUCUUUCCAUGUCUAUCUUUCCAUUUACUGGCAAGUAUUUUCUCUUCAUUUAUGCACAUAAACCACAUAACACCAGAGUUAUGCACCCUCAAGG